UGGGGAAUCUUGCACAAUGGGGGAAACCCUGAUGCAGCGACGCCGCGUGAGUGAUGAAGCCCUUCGGGGUGUAAAGCUCUUUCGACAGGAACGAUAAUGACGGUACCUGGAGAAGAAGCUGCGGCUAACUACGUGCCGGCAGCCGCGGUAAUACGUAGGCAGCAAACGUUGUUCGGAGUUACUGGGCGUAAAGAGUGCGUAGGCGGUUUGCCAAGUCUGGUGUGAAAUCUCCUGGCUUAACUGGGAGGGUGCGCCGGAUACUGGCAGGCUUGAGUGUGGGAGAGGAAAGCAGAAUUCCUGGUGUAGCGGUGAAAUGCGUAGAUAUCAGGAGGAAUACCUGUGGUGAAGACGGCUUUCUGGACCACAACUGACGCUGAGGCACGAAAGCGUGGGGAGCAAACAGGAUUAGAUACCCCGGUAGUCCCUGAGCGGGCUGGCAAGGCGCAU
rnacentral:rRNA from 1 species